GAUGAACGCUGGCGGCGUGCUUAACACAUGCAAGUCGAACGAAGAAGGUUAGAAUGAGAGCUUCGGCAGGAUUUCUUUCCAUCUUAGUGGCGGACGGGUGAGUAACGUGUGGGCAACCUGCCUCAUACAGGGGGAUAACAGUUAGAAAUGGCUGCUAAUACCGCAUAAGCGCACAGGAUCGCAUGGUCUGGUGUGAAAAACUCCGGUGGUAUGAGAUGGACCCGCGUCUGAUUAGCUAGUUGGAGGGGUAACGGCCCACCAAGGCGACGAUCAGUAGCCGGACUGAGAGGUUGAACGGCCACAUUGGGACUGAGACACGGCCCAG
rnacentral:rRNA from 1 species